rnacentral:rRNA from 1 species
UACGUAGGGUGCGAGCGUUAAUCGGAAUUACUGGGCGUAAAGCGUGCGCAGGUGGUUGUGUAAGCCAGAUGUGGAAUCCCCGGGCUUAACCUGGGAAUGGCAUUUGGGACUGCACGGCUAGAGUGUGGCAGAGGGGGGUGGAAUUCCGCGUGUAGCAGUGAAAUGCGUAGAGACGCGGAGGAACACCGAUGGCGAAGGCAGCCCCCUGGGUUAACACUGACACUCAUGCACGAAAGCGUGGGGAGCAAACAGG